rnacentral:rRNA from 1 species
UACAGAGGUCUCAAGCGUUGUUCGGAUUCAUUGGGCGUAAAGGGUGUGUAGGUGGCGCCGUAAGUCGGGUGUGAAAUCUCGGGGCUUAACUCCGAAACUGCAUUCGAUACUGCGGUGCUUGAGGACUGGAGAGGAGACUGGAAUUCACGGUGUAGCAGUGAAAUGCGUAGAUAUCGUAAGGAAGACCAGUGGCGAAGGCGGGUCUCUGGACAGUUCCUGACACUGAGACACGAAGGCCAGGGGAGCAAACGGG